rnacentral:rRNA from 1 species
AUGUGGCUGGUUGUUCACCGCAAGUUUCUUACGUCGGAUAACCUUCUACGUAGGGGUUACCCAGCUAGUAUUUCUUGCCCACUCUACUUCUCUGAACCAGAAGACUGCACACACCUAUUUAUACACCACCGGUUCACGCAACAAGUCUGGAGGUUUCUUAAGUUUUGGACCGGGGCGGAUUUUGUCGUGCCUGACGAUCAACAUGGCUGCAUAGAGGGAUGGUGGCUUCAGGCAAGGGCGGGCAUUCCCAAGCCUAUGCGCGGCAACUUUCAUACAAUUGCGAUCUUGAUGCACUGGAGGUUAUGGAAGGAGAAGAACUCCAGGGUGUUUGACCACAUGGCCAACAACGCCGAUAGAGUCUUCGAUCUGGUGCGUGAGGACAUCGCCGUGUGGAGAUCUGCUGGUUGCAUCACUGAUUUAGGCUCUUGA